GGACGAACGCUGGCGGCGUGCCUAACACAUGCAAGUCGAACGGGGAUGUGCGGAAGCCUUCGGGCUAAAGCGCAUUCCAGUGGCGGACGGGUGAGUAACGCGUGAGGAACCUGCCUCGAACUGGGGGAUAACAGCGAGAAAUCGUUGCUAAUACCGCAUAAGACCACAUGGCCGCAUGGCCAAGGGGGUCAAAGAUUAUAUCGGUUUGAGAUGGACUCGCGUCUGAUUAGCUAGUUGGUGGGUAACGGCCUACCAAGGCAGCGAUCAGUAGCCGAGCUGAGAGGCUGAUCGGCCACACUGGGACUGAGACACGGCCCAGACUCCUACGGGAGGCAGCAGUGGGGAAUAAUUGGGCAAUGGGGGAAACCCUGACCCAGCAACGCCGCGUGAAGGAAGAAGGUUUUCGGAUUGUAAACUUCUGUCCUUGGGGACGAAACAAAUGACGGUACCCAAGGAGGAAGCCCCGGCUAACUACGUGCCAGCCGCGGC
rnacentral:rRNA from 1 species